UACAGAGGGUGCAAGCGUUGUUCGGAAUUACUGGGCGUAAAGCGCGUGUAGGCGGCGGCGUAAGUCGGGUGUGAAAUCCCUCAGCUCAACUGAGGAAGUGCACUCGAUACUGUGUCGCUUGAAUGUCGGAGGGGAUGGCGGAAUUCCCGGUGUAGAGGUGAAAUUCGUAGAUAUCGGGAGGAACACCUGUGGCGAAGGCGGCCAUCUGGACGACAAUUGACGCUGAGACGCGAAAGCGUGGGUAGCAAACAGG
rnacentral:rRNA from 1 species